rfam:Hydnomerulius pinastri MD-312 unplaced genomic scaffold scaffold_1, whole genome shotgun sequence.
GGCUACCUAGCGCAAUGGUAGCGCGUUUGGCUUCGAUUGCCCAACGGCACCAAAAGGUUGCAGGUUCGAGUCCUGCGGUGGUCA